rnacentral:rRNA from 1 species
UCUUCCCUCUGGCGGCGUGCCUAAUACAUGCAAGUCGAGCGAACGGACGAGAAGCUUGCUUCUCUGAUGUUAGCGGCGGACGGGUGAGUAACACGUGGAUAACCUACCUAUAAGACUGGGAUAACUUCAGGAAACCGGAGCUAAUACCGGAUAAUAUUUUGAACCGCAUGGUUCAAAAGUGAAAGACGGUAUUGCUGUCACUUAUAGAUGGAUCCGCGCUGCAUUAGCUAGUUGGUAAGGUAACGGCUUACCAAGGCAACGAUGCAUAGCCGACCUGAGAGGGUGAUCGGCCACACUGGAACUGAGACACGGUCCAGACUCCUACGGGAGGCAGCAGUAGGGAAUCUUCCGCAAUGGGCGAAAGCCUGACGGAGCAACGCCGCGUGAGUGAUGAAGGUCUUCGGAUCGUAAAACUCUGUUAUUAGGGAAGAACAUAUGUGUAAGUAACUGUGCACAUCUUGACGGUACCUAAUCAGGAAGCCACGGCUAACUACGUG